rnacentral:rRNA from 1 species
UACGGGGGGGGCAAGCGUUGUUCGGAAUUACUGGGCGUAAAGGGCGCGUAGGCGGCCUUCUAAGUCGAACGUGAAAUCCCCGGGCUCAACCCGGGAACUGCGUCCGAUACUGGAAGGCUUGAAUUCGGGAGAGGGAUGCAGAAUUCCAGGUGUAGCGGUGAAAUGCGUAGAUAUCUGGAGGAACACCGGUGGCGAAGGCGGCAUCCUGGACCGGCAUUGACGCUGAGGCGCGAAAGCCAGGGGAGCAAACGGG